UAUGGUCACAUCACGUUGAAACACCGAUUCCGGUAAAAUCACCGAAGAUAAGCAUCGUCGAGCUUCAUCAGUACCUAGAUGGGUGACCGCUUGGGAAUAGCAAGUGCUGUGA